CCUACGGUGGGCAGCAGUGGGGGAUAUUGCACAAUGGGGGAAACCCUGAUGCAGCGACGCCGCGUGUGGGAAGACGGUCCUCUGGAUUGUAAACCACUGUCCCCAGGGACGAAGAUGACGGUACCUGGGGCGGAAGCUCCGGCUAACUACGUGCCAGCAGCCGCGGUAAUACGUAGGGAGCGAGCGUUGUCCGGAAUUACUGGGUGUAAAGGGAGCGUAGGCGGGACUGCAAGUUGGGUGUCAAAUCUACCGGCUCAACCGGUAGCCGCACUCAAAACUGCAGUUCUUGAGUGAAGUAGAGGCAGGCGGAAUUCCUAGUGUAGCGGUGAAAUGCGUAGAUAUUAGGAGGAACACCAGUGGCGAAGGCGGCCUGCUGGGCUUUUACUGACGCUGAGGCUCGAAAGUGUGGGGAGCAAACAGGAUUAGAUACCCUAGUAGUC
rnacentral:rRNA from 1 species